AAGUCGAGCGAUCUUCUUCGGAAGAGAGCGGCGGACGGGUGAGUAACGCGUGGGUAACCUGCCCUGUACACACGGAUAACAUACCGAAAGGUAUGCUAAUACGGGAUAACAUAAGAAAGUCGCAUGGCUUUCUUAUCAAAGCUUUUGCGGUACAGGAUGGACCCGCGUCUGAUUAGCUAGUUGGUAAGGUAACGGCUUACCAAGGCGACGAUCAGUAGCCGACCUGAGAGGGUGAUCGGCCACAUUGGAACUGAGACACGGUCCAAACUCCUACGGGAGGCAGCAGUGGGGAAUAUUGCACAAUGGGCGAAAGCCUGAUGCAGCAACGCCGCGUGAGCGAUGAAGGCCUUCGGGUCGUAAAGCUCUGUCCUCAAGGAAGAUAAUGACGGUACUUGAGGAGGAAGCCCCGGCUAACUACGUGCCAGCAGCCGCGGUAAUACGUAGGGGGCUAGCGUUAUCCGGAAUUACUGGGCGUAAAGGGUGCGUAGGCGGUCUUUCAAGUCAGAAGUGAAAGGCUACGGCUCAACCGUAGUAAGCUUUUGAAACUGUAAGACUUGAGUGCAGGAGAGGAGAGUGGAAUUCCUAGUGUAGCGGUGAAAUGCGUAGAUAUUAGGAGG
rnacentral:rRNA from 1 species